GAAUCUUACGCUAUGUGGAUUUGUGAAACAAGAAUAAAAAUUCGUUCUUUCUUUUUCUUCUUCAAGAAACAAGAAUCUAUUUUUCUCCCAUUUUCAUCACACCCAUUACACUUCCGAUUCUUCCAAAAUCUCUCACAUUCUCACAGAUUCUUCCAAAAUCACACUUCGAACUCACAAUCUCGUGUUUCUCCUUUCUCCGUCGAUUCUUCAAUGAUCAUUUGUGUGCAUCUUCCGCAUCCCGUGAUUCUUCAAUCAUAAAUUUUCAAGUCAAUUUCUGAAUCAAUUGAUUGCGGGCUGAGGUAGAAGGCGAAUAAGAGACCUAUGAUGUAAAAAUAGGGAUGAGGUAGAUAGCAAAAAAGAUAGAUACUCCAUGAUGCAAUAAUAGGAUCCGCAGGAGCUUACGCAUAUCUCAGAUUGUUACAGGGAAAAAGUCUCAAAGUUGACUAUGGCGCAAGGGAUGAGGUAGAAAGCAAAAAAGAUAGAUACUCCAUGAAGCAAUAAUAGUGGAAUUGUGUUUGCUAAAGCUGAACCGAGCUGGUGGAUCAGCAGGAGCUUAAACAUAUCUCCGAUUGUUACGGGAAAAAGUCUCAAAGUUUACUAUGAAGCAAGAGGAUAUGAGAAGACUGGAUAAAAUAUAACUGAAGGUGCACCUGUAUGGAUGAAGCUAUUGAUGCAUAUAUAAGCCUCUACAAAGGCAUAUAAUCCUCCAAAGUUCAAAGUUCUUAUGAAGGAAUAUAUAAGCCGCUGCAAAGGCAUGCUUUCUCCUACCUUAUUUAUCUUUUUUGUCCGGAUAUGAAUUCAAAUAUUGUGUGUUCUAGAGUGGAUUGGUGAGCUGACCCAAGCCCAAUACCACCUCUUCGACUAUAUAAGUCUCACAUCAUCACCUAUGAAGGUACAUCUCAUUAUAAACGUCUCUCUAACUCAAAAGUUUGAAGGACAUAAAUUAACUUAAAAACUAAGACAAAAAAUAUUGCUUGAUGGAAGCAUAAAUUCACUUUAAUUAACCCGGUAUUGGGUCGAGGCCCUUGGUCGAAUAAAAUAUGAAAGACCAUCAGGUAGCCUUUAUAUUAAAGCACAUGCAUUCUUCACACAUCUAUGUUAUGCAGCUUCUAUCACUAUGGCGUUUGGUUUAGUUGUCUGAUUCGUCUUUCUUCUUCUCAAGUAAAGACUGAACGCAUUGUGAUAAAUACUAUAGUUUCUUGAUAAAACUAAAACCUCUAUGAAUGUUGGUUGGAUCAAAAUUUAAUUGGGUAUACAAACCCUAUAAGACUAUAUAUCAUUGUGAGAUGGAAAUCUUUUUUCAUCAUCUGAAAAACGAGUGGAUGAUGUCCUUCAAUGCAAUUUUUAUAUGAA